UUAGCUGUGAGUCGCAGAAAACGGCUUCCUCCGCUAAGCUCGUCAAUGGCGGUUCUCAGUCCCUACUUGAACUAGCAUGCGAAUAGUCAACGCCCAUUUUCCCAUCAACAUCCUCAAUUCAUUCUAGUUUUUCCCAUUAUUGGCACCCAUGUUGAAGGUUUUGACAUCCUCAUGUCUGCAAAAUCGUUUCCACGCCGUCACAACGUCGUUUACCCCUCAAGUUCGGCGUGGAACUGAGUCGAAUACGCCAUUGCUUCAGGUUUUAGGUUCCCUAAGAAGUUCAAACAGUAGAGGCCCCUAUUUGUAUCGGCGAUUCUUUUGUUCAGAUUCUACUGAUGGGUCCGAACCGAAUUCCGAAGCUAAACAGGUCGAGGACGAAAUUGAAGUUGGAGAUGCUGAUUCAAAGGCUUCCGCAGCAAUUGUUCCUACUGUAUUUAGGCCUGAAGAUUGCCUAACGGUUCUAGCGCUGCCACUUCCUCACAGACCAUUAUUUCCAGGGGUUUAUAUGCCUAUUUAUGUAAAGGAUCCUAAGGUAUUAGCAGCCUUGGUGGAAAGUCGAAAAAGGCAAGCACCUUAUGCUGGUGCUUUCCUUAUAAAAGAUGAGCAAGGGACUGAUCCUAAUGUUGUGUCUGCAUCAGAUACAGAAAAAAACAUCUAUGAGCUCAAAGGAAAAGACUUAUUUAGCCGUCUUCAUGAAGUUGGUACACUUGCUCAGAUAACAAGUAUUCAAGGAGACCAGGUUAUUCUUAUUGGUCACAGGCGGAUACGUAUGACAGAAGUGGUCAGCGAGGAACCCCUUACAGUGAAAGUUGAUCAUCUCAAGGAGAAGCCAUACAACAAAGACGACGAUGUUAUUAAGGCAACAUCUUUUGAAGUUCUAUCAACCCUACGAGAUGUUUUGAAGACAAGUUCUCUUUGGAAAGAUCAUGUUCAAACUUAUAUCCAGCAUAUUGGUGAUUUCAAUUAUGCAAGGUUAGCAGAUUUUGGAGCAGCAAUAUCUGGAGCCAACCAGCUGCAAUGCCAGCAAGUGCUUGAAGAGCUAGACGUGCAUAAACGACUACAACUUACUCUGGAGAUAGUGAAGAAAGAAAUGGAGAUCAGUAAGAUUCAGGAAUCAAUAGCAAAAGCGAUUGAAGAAAAAAUAAGUGGAGAGCAACGCCGUUAUUUGUUGAAUGAGCAAUUAAAGGCCAUAAAGAAGGAACUAGGUUUGGAGACGGAUGACAAGACAGCUCUUUCUGCAAAGUUUAGGGAAAGACUGGAGCCUAACAAAGAAAAAAUACCGGCUCAUGUCAUGCAAGUUAUUGAAGAAGAACUUACAAAACUGCAACUACUGGAAGCUAGUUCAAGUGAAUUCAAUGUGACACGUAAUUAUCUUGAUUGGUUGACUGCCUUGCCAUGGGGUAGUUACAGUGAUGAGAACUUUGAUGUACUACGGGCAGAAACAAUUCUUGAUGAAGACCACUAUGGGUUAAGCGAUGUUAAGGAAAGGAUUUUGGAAUUUAUAGCUGUGGGAAAACUCCGAGGAACCUCACAAGGGAAAAUCAUAUGCCUCUCUGGCCCUCCUGGAGUAGGCAAAACCAGUAUAGGUCGUUCAAUUGCACGUGCAUUGAACCGCAAGUUCUACCGAUUUUCUGUUGGAGGGUUGUCUGAUGUCGCUGAAAUAAAGGGACAUCGACGGACUUAUAUUGGUGCCAUGCCAGGGAAGAUGGUGCAAUGUUUAAAAAGUGUGGGAACAGCUAAUCCUCUUGUUUUGAUAGAUGAAAUUGAUAAGCUGGGAAGGGGACAUGCUGGUGAUCCAGCUAGUGCUAUGUUGGAGCUUCUUGAUCCAGAACAGAAUGCAAAUUUCUUGGAUCAUUAUCUUGAUGUCCCUAUUGAUUUAUCAAAGGUUUUGUUUGUCUGCACAGCCAAUGUCUUGGAAAUGAUACCUAAUCCUCUUUUGGAUAGAAUGGAGGUAAUUGCAAUUGCUGGUUACAUUACUGAUGAGAAACUGCACAUAGCCCGGGAUUAUUUGGAAAAAAGUACCCGUGAAACAUGUGGGAUCAAGCCUGAACAGGUUGAAGUGACUGAUGCAGCUCUUCUCGCUUUAAUAGAAAAUUACUGUAGAGAAGCCGGUGUUCGCAAUCUGCAGAAGCAAAUUGAAAAGAUUUAUCGCAAGAUAGCUCUAAAGCUUGUUAGGAAGGAUGGCAAGAUUGAGCCCCAGAAUGCAGGGGUAAAUGAGGUAAAAGCAGAAUCUGUCCAUAUAUCAGACGAAAUCAAGUCUAAGGAAGAAACUCAGGCUGGAGCUAAGUCUGUAGAGGGUACCAAUGAUGACAAGCCCUCUGAAAAUGUUGCUGAAUCUCUGGAAGCACCAGUAAACCAAAUGCAGAAGCCUAUUGAUGAAGAUACUCAUUUACAGGAAGUUGAGGAAGUUACAGAAAGUGAAGCAAGUAAAACAAUAGAAAAAGUGGUUGUGGACUCACCAAACCUAGCUGAUUAUGUUGGCAAACCUAUUUUCCAUGCUGAGCGCAUAUAUGAUCAGACCCCAGUUGGAGUUGUGAUGGGUCUUGCUUGGACUUCAAUGGGUGGCUCAACACUCUAUAUAGAAACGUCUUUGGUGGAGCAAGGAGAAGGAAAAGGGGCUCUCAAUGUAACAGGACAACUAGGCGACGUUAUGAAAGAAAGUGCCCAAAUUGCCCAUACGGUUUCCAGGAUCAUUUUGCAGGAGAAGGAGCCUGAUAACCACUUCUUUGCAAAUAGUAAGCUUCAUCUUCAUGUUCCUGCGGGUUCUACCCCUAAGGAUGGCCCUAGUGCUGGUUGUACUAUGAUAACAUCCUUGUUGUCUCUUGCCAUGAAAAAGCCUGUUAAACCUUACCUGGCAAUGACCGGGGAAGUCACGCUAACUGGAAAAAUUCUUCCCAUCGGCGGGGUCAAGGAGAAAACCAUAGCAGCACGGCGAAGUGAUGUGAAAACUAUAAUAUUCCCUUCAGCUAAUCGAAGAGAUUUUGACGAGCUUGCUCCUAAUGUCAAGGAAGGCCUUGAUGUACACUUUGUGGAUGAGUACAAGCAAAUAUAUGAUUUGGCAUUUUGACAGCUAUAGUAUAGAAUAUUUAAGUUGCUCUUGGAGACGAAUUGUCCAGCAGUAGGCUGAGUUCGCCAUCUCAUUCAUUCUGGUCCUUAUUCCCGGAGAUGUAGUUUUGUUUUGCUCCUUGUCACAACAAGCAACUUUGAUUUUUUUCACACACCAUCGUAUCACAUAAUUCAUAUAUCUCAAGGAGAUAAAUUUUACCUUUUGCCAAGAAUAAAGGCAAAGAUACAAAAGAAGGGAAGAGACAGAGAACACAAAAGAAACCUUUUCUUAGGUUUUGUUGACGUUGGGCAGUUGUUCUUUAUGUUAGCUGUCUAAUCAGCGACCAGUGUGCAAGCAUGACACUGAUGAUUUCAUCAAUUAAUUAUCAUCUGUUGUGCUCAUGCUCAAAUUUGUUAAUCUUAUAUCUAUCUAUCUAUCUAUCCUAUAUUAAAAGCAUAAAGGUCCACAGAAAUCUUGUUUGAACUUUUUGCCAUUCAUUAAAAGACUUUGCUUUAGACAAUAAUCUUUUCACCAUUUUUCUCAAAUUAUUAUUUAAUUUUAUU